CCUACGGGAGGCAGCAGUGGGGAAUAUUGCACAAUGGGGGAAACCCUGAUGCAGCGACGCCGCGUGAGUGAUGAAGGUUUUCGGUUUGUAAACCUCUAUUAUCAGGGAAGAAAAUGACGGUAUCUGACUAAUAAGCACCGGCUAACUACGUGCCAGCAGCCGCGGUAAUACGUAGGGGGCAAGCGUUACCCGGAUUUACUGGGUGUAAAGGGAGCGUAGGCGGGAGAACAAGUCAGGAGUGAAAUGCUGGGGCUUAACCCUGGAACUGCAUUGGAAACUGUGAAGCUAGAGUGCAGGAGAGGUAAGUGGAAUUCCUGGUGUAGCGGUGAAAUGCGUAGAUAUUAGGAGGAACACCAGUGGCGAAGGCGGCUUGCUGGAAUGUAACUGACGUUGAGGCUCGAAAGCGUGGGGAGCAAACAGGAUUAGAUACCCGUGUAGUC
rnacentral:rRNA from 1 species